UCAUCUCUAUUUUAAUGAAAUUAGCUGGUGGCUGCCCAUCAAUGGCUGAUCAGCUAAAUAUGGAUGCAUUUUUACAGCAAGCUCGCUCUUAUGAUAAAGCUUCUUCGAGCCCAGUUGGGUACUAUAUAAGAAAUGCUCAAACGCGGCAACUUUCACAUCCUCUGCCUGUUCUACAUGCACGUGAGUUUGAUGAGUGGUCAAGAAGUAAUGAAUACAGAAGCCUUCUUAAAUGUGCAACUCAGAUGAACGUUGUAGAAAAAGUUUAGCUCUGGUCUGGACCUUGAGAAAGUCAAAGUUGAAAAUAGCUUUAAUAGAUUUUGACUUUGCCUUGCAAGAUUUGGUUCCCUUUAUGUUUAUAGAAGAUACUUUGCCAGACAGAAAGAACACAGUAAAUGGAGGAAGCUUUUGCCCAAAGCAUCUCUAGCUGUGGUAAAACAUUUGUCUGUAAAGAACCACAAUUAGUUAGAGUCUAAAUUUAUGGUAAGAGAAUUAUAUAUAGUUCAUCUUUGUAACUAUGAUAGAGAUUGUUUUAACAUAUGCUUCAUACUGAAAAGAACAGAAAACUGUAUAUCGUCGUCCAAAAGGAUAAAGCAAAUAUAGCAUUUUUUUUUCUUUUAAA